CGUAGGGGCAAGCGUUAUCCGGAUUUACUGGGGUGUAAAGGGAGCGUAGACGGCUGUGCAAGUCUGAAGUGAAAGGCAUGGGCUCAACCUGUGGACUGCUUUGGAAACUGUGCAGCUAGAGUGUCGGAGAGGUAAGUGGAAUUCCUAGUGUAGCGGUGAAAUGCGUAGAUAUUAGGAGGAACACCAGUGGCGAAGGCGGCUUACUGGACGAUGACUGACGUUGAGGCUCGAAAGCGUGGGGAGCAAACAGGAUU
rnacentral:rRNA from 1 species